rnacentral:miRNA from 12 species
UGUUGAAAAGGGUGAGGGUACC